rnacentral:lncRNA from 1 species
CUUGUGGCUAUCUCAGCAGCCAUUACAUGGAGCCAGUCCUGAAAGCAGACAUUUUUCCCUAUUUUAUAAUAGGAGCGUUCAUUUAUGCUGAGAAUACAAUUUUUACCAGACUGCCUGCAGGACAGUACAAUAAAAGAUUUAUCCUUAAUAGCAUUUCACUGAAGUUUCACCACAGGAGACAGGUUUUUUGUUGUGUGUGUGUGUUUUUUUUUUUUUAAUUUUAUUUUUUAUUUUAUUUUCCUCUUCAGUUGCUAUGAAAGUCUAUGCUCAUAGCUUUUUUACAGAACAUAAUCCCUAGAUCUCCUCCGCCACCUUCUCUCAACUGAUUAUUUUUUUCUUUUCCCUUCAGUGCUUUCUCCUCUCUGACAUGCUUCUCUCCUUUUUGUUUUAGUUUCUUCUGUUGUAUGGUCAAAGGAAACCAGAAAAGUGACUGGUUACGAGCAUGGCUGCUGCUGAGGCCAAGGGGUACACACAUCUAUCUUCCUGCAUUUUUGAAGGAUGUUUUCCUGCUCCAGAAUCUAUCUCACCUUUUGUCCAGGUUAGGUGCAGACACUUAGCUGAACUUCUAGAGUUCGUCUCAAGCAUGUUUAGAGAGAGACAGCAGCCUGCAGAAGAAAGCCACAUGCCUCCAGGUGGGAUGGGAUGUUCGUGGGAAAUGUCUGUCUCUUCCCAUUAAGCUCAGCGAGCUUCUGUGAGUCACUAAGUGCCGAGUGGCCAAAUAGGAGGAACACAGUCCUGUCUGAGUGAUAUCACUGACAAACUGCCCGAAUAAGGGUCUGCUACCAGACUGCAGCUCUGUACCUUCCUUUAUGAGUCCUCUGGAGGUACAACGAUGCCUGAGGUGUAUGGCCUGCCUACUGCUUGGACAGAGGGAGGCUUGAGAUAAAAUCCUAGCUCAACCAGCCUUCCAUUAUCUGCCUCUUGUUCUUCUGCCACAAAAUAAGCAGAAUGGUACCUACCCUCUUCCUAAAUUGUUGCAGAACUCAGGGUUGCAAAAAGCUGCUCGAGCAGCAUGUCUCAUUGUUAAUUGUUAUCCCAAGCUUCCUCGGGUGCCUGACUACUUGAACAUCUAAGAAUUUACGGGCAUUUGGUAACGUCUGAAAAGGAAGAUUCUCUUUAAUACGCUUAUGAUAAGUAUUUGCACUAUUUUAGAAAGCUAUUUUCAUUCUACUCAGACACUCGUUAAAUAACUUUUUAGAACUUGAACAUUUACUGCUCAUUUUAUAUGUGAAAUAAAUCAAUCAGAUUUAACA